rnacentral:lncRNA from 1 species
GAAUAGAGUUCCGGGAACCCUGUCUUCCUUCCGGUGGUGGCUGAGGGCUCGUGCUCGAGGCUGAGGGAUGCUGGUGACUCCCGGGGUCCCCAGCCCCGCCCCCAUCGGACGCCUCCACAGGCGGCGCACCCUUUCCGCCAUCCGCAGAGCAAGGCUGCCUCGGGGCGGCUCAGUCCGGCGCUUCUUACCUUACCUCCGUCUCAUCCUUAACUCACCACGAGCGUCCAGGGUCCACAUCCUCCUAAAUGGCCACUCGUCUUAAUCUCGGCGUCAGGACCCACGCGGGGUCAGGACUACCCCUCCGCUUCCAUGACUGUCUCCUCGCGGCUCCGGCUCCCACGGAGCGACCCCUCCGGGUUUUACUGACCCCGGGAUGUUGUAUCCUGGAAACUGCAGUUCCACCCAGGGGCUUGAUCUGGGUUUUUGAAAUAAUGUGAAUGGUUACUGCUGGCGGAUGUUCACAGGGACACACCGG